rnacentral:lncRNA from 1 species
CUGGUACAACAAUAAUCUCGCUGUGUUUCAUUAUGGCUCUUUGAGCUGUCGUUUUAAAAAGCCAUGUAUAUCCUGAACACAGCUCUGAGGUCAGAUCUGUACAUCCUGUGCUCCUGCACACAGGUCGGUCUGUAGGGAGGCUCCUUUCCAUGAAAAGCAGAUCCCUGAGGAGCUCACUUUUCCAGCUCCUAUACCCACCUGCUGCUUUGUCCUGGCCUCACGACUGUCCUUUGAUUGCCCAGGUGGGAGGAGGCGUGCAUCCCUAUGCCGAAAGUGCUGAAAAGGAGUGGAAAGGUCUGACCCCACUGCUGUUCUACUCAGCCUUAUUUUCAAUGUAUUUCAGAUUUCACAAAUUCAUUAUAACUAUUUUUUGCCCUACUAGCUUGAGAAAAUAACACCAAGUUACAAAUGAUUGCCUGCCAGCAUUUUUACAUCCAAUAGCUGAAAUAAUGUGGUACUUUAAGGAGCUAUUGCCUGUGCUUUUCCUUGUCCCAAAUGAAGAGCAAAUGACCAACGAGCUGCCAAUUUCUGGUGUUGUAAAAAACCAGUUUUUGUUUUUUUGUAGGUCAGAGAUGGAUGGGUCUGAAACGUUACAUAGAUGGAAGAAAUCAGCAGUGCAGAGAGUCCCAAGAGAAAGAGAUGUCCCCCACAGAGGCAGCUGUUUCUCUACCAUGAAAGUGUUUCCAUAAAAGCUCGGGACAGCCACAUUAAGGAAGAUGGCCUGAAAGAAAACCAUGCAAAUUAUACUGAGCACACCUAAAAACACUGUCCUGGGGCAAAACAGUGAGCUCACUGCAGAAACGAGGGAGCUGCCGACAGCACGGACAAAACUGAAUUGCUUGAACUGGCUUGUGUGAUCUCCAGUGCCUGAAGCCUCUCCAAACUGGGCUGUACAUUGCUGCUGCUAUACCAGUAUCAAACUACAGUAAUAACAAGCAUCUUUAAGUGCCUUACUUAAUACCAGAUUCAUUACCCUGAGAGUCCUUCCAUAGAAAUAGCUGGGAUAUAUAAUCAGAUCUGUAUUGGUCUUCUUACAAACCGCAGCGUGAAGGACAGCUUGGCUCAGAGGAGGCUGCACUGCAUGCAAAGGAGGGAGAUUAUCCAGAAAGCUAAGUAGUUUCAGAAGCAAUUUCAUCUGUGAAGACAAGAGCAAGCACAAGCCCUCAAGGCCACCGCAGCCCCAUCACCUGUGCCCUGAAGGCACCGAGCUGCUGCACACACCUUCCUCACCACCUCUGUCCUCUCCUGUGUGCUUUGGGACCCACAACGAAAGUCCGAGUUUGGACUUGGGGCAUAAAAUACGGCACCAUAAAAUAUUAUUGUAGGGGAAGAGUGAAAAUUUACUCAUUUUUGAGCAGGAGGGCAAGGUGAUUUUCUCUCGGUCCAGUAAUUCCCUCAUUUUUAUUGCUGGUGUUAUGGACCAGCUUCUCCGAGGUGCUUGGAUUUUGCUUAUAUUGCGUCCUCCUUCACAUCCGCUUUCAACAGUAAAACCCGUGUGGUUUUGAUCUCUUGCUUUCAUGCCUGCUGCCACACUCUGGAAAAUUUAAGAAGGGCGCAAGGAAUGGGUUAGUCACACUUGUUAAUAUUUAUCCCAUUGCAGAGUGAGUAGGGCUGACCUCAGAGCUUGGGCUUUGGAGAACAGUUAUGAGAACAAUUCCACCGCGCCGAAACGAAAUCUGCAUGCAAAGCUCGUUUGGUGCCUGGAAGGAGCUAGAAGGAAAUAAAGGUCUUAAACGAUAUAUUUCCGCAGUGAAUGUUUUGUCCUGUUUACAGAAUCUCACUCGAAUACUGGGGGUUUUGUUUUGUUCAUGUGUUUUUCAUAAGGAUAAAUAGCCGUGCAGUUUAAACAUUUUCAUUAGACUGAGACAAGAAGGAGGACGAUGCGGGGCUAUUUUUUUCUUUAAUUGUUAAUAUCUUUUUUUUAAUGGUUAUUUCUUAUAACGUCCUUUAGAAAUAAAACAUCAGGUAAAUCAAAGAGAUGGGGAAAGUGACUCUCUUUAAUUAUUCUUGGAGCAAUUUUGAGUAAUGUAGGCUAAAUUAAAAAAAUAUACAAGCAAGAUAUUUUGGCUGGGAAGUAUGUGUAAAGUAUGAACAGCAGGAAAAAAAAGAAAAAAAGCCUUCCUUUCUAAAUAGAAAAUCUUUGAAAGUAACAGGGGGAAACUGAUGGGAAGGGCUGAAGUCCAUAUAUUCCCACCUCCUCCGCCUUGUGCUCUCUUAAAGGUGAGCUGCAAAAUGCAAAAGAGAAAUGUGUUAAAUUCAGAUGACUCGCUCGGGUGUCAGGAAGUGGUUCGAACAAACACACCAAGUUAACUCACACAUUCCCAGCUUUUUUGUUCACCCCUCCCCUCCUUUCCCCUUCCCUUCCCAUCCAAUCUCUUUGCUGGUGUGUUUCUGCCUUCACACAGAGCGCACUGUUUGUCCAUGGGAGCAGCACCCCCAGGGUUCGCGGGCAGCCACGGCUUUCUGGGAGGAUUUUCCAGGGAGAAAGAGGAGGAGAAUUUAAGAAAAUGUAUUCGUGUGCUAUCUACCCUGUCUGCAGGAGAAACGAGACAGGCUGUGAGGACAUAUGUGGUGAGCUUUGGUGGCUGUGCCAUUUGCGUUUCAUCCCAACUGUCCUUCUUGGUCCAUCCACCUGCUCUGCCAUAGGUCUUCGGCAGCAAUGUGGUUCCUGGCAUCUGCAACGUUAAGUAACGUGGCCACAGAAACACCAGAUUUGAGCAUUGCUGUGUUUGCCAGUGAAUGCGUUCAGUGGUAGGCACAGACAGAAGCAGUUGGAUGUGGGGAAUACUUUUUGAGCUGCCAGUGGCAGCGCUUGGUUUGCAGUUGGAUGUGUGAGAUAGAAGUAAGUCUCACUUGAAACACUUUGAAACUGAAAUAGGUCACUGAGAUUAAGUCCUAAAGCCAAGGCAUCCAACUCCACUGUCCCCUGUCCCAUGCACCAAGCAGGGUCCUGCCCCACAGAUUUGGCACACAUACAGGACUGUUCCUCAUUAACUUCCACAUCUCCCUCUGGAAAUCUUCCCCAUGCCUUUCUCCCCCUGUUAGGCAGCAGGUGUGCAAGGGAGAACUUGUAAGUCUAAGUGAAAUGGAGUUAUCUGAUUUACGGUAAGUAGAUUUUCUAUUUGGAAUAGCAAUGCAUAGCAGUGUGUGCAUUACCUCGUAGCAAUAUAAUAUAAGCACGCACAAACCCCAUGCCUUUCUGCCUAGAAUAUAAAAGGACUGUAUUAUCGCAACACCGAGUGUGUGUCUGCACAGAGCUAAUUCGUGUACUACAGCAUGUUUGUCAAAGGACCCUCUGUAAUUGCACUCCAGUAUGUUUUAAUUUGUGAUCAAGCAGUAAGACUGGUAUAAGUCUCCCUGCUGAUUUAUGUUCUCUUCAGCUACUGCAUAACUGCAUUCUGCAGCAAUUCCUGAUUUUAAUUUUCAGUCCUUUAAUAACACAGGAGGCAUUUAAAUGCUUCGUUUUUGUGGGAUUUUUUUUCUUUUUUUCUUUUUCUUUUUCUUUUUUUUUUCUUUUCUUUUCUUUUUUUUUUUUUUUUUGCAAGAACAAAUCCAACUGCACACCUGAGACCCUUCAGCUAAGGAAAGCCAAAAUAGUUUAUGAAAUCAACUGCUGCUCUCCUUUGUUAGGGCCAUUUCGGUUCUGUUUUCCCCCCCAACAAAAUUUUCAGAACUGUUUGCUUUCCAUUAUAGCCAGAGAAAUAAACUGUGGGUUUGGAAACGUCUCUGCUUAGUCUCUGGAAUAGAAAUUAAGUACAUUAAAAAAAAAAAGAAAGAGAGAGAAAGUGAAUAUUAAUUCACAUUUCUCCUUGGGGAGAAAGAUUUAAUGAGUUUAAGAAAGAGGUUCUGCUCCUACCGAGUGUUGAAUUUGAUGAAGUUGCCCAACUUAUCAUGGUUUAGUGGAGGAGGCUCAGCUUUUGACAAAAACAUAACAAGACAGAAAUUCAGGAAGCAAUCCCCUUGGAAGGAGGGGGUUAUUCAUGCAGAGGAUCUCUGCUCCAUCUGUUUUUUAGCUCUUUAUUUUUCUUUCUGGUGUAAGCGGUUGUCAGCAAUGGAGGAGGACAGAAGUGAAUAAAGUGUGGGGACACUGGGACAAAUAUAUCCCAGUCUUGAGGCUGUUUUGGACACCAGCUGUGCAUCUCCUCGUUCUCCUGAUGCAAAGCAGCAGUGGGACUCUGGCUUCACUCCUGGAGCUUCAAGUUGGUGACACCCAAAGGCCCCAGCUCUGAGAUAGGGUGAUGAAGUGGUGACAGCAUGGGUUUGACAAAGCCCAGCAGUGAGCUCUGGGCUGACGUGCUGUGGGGUGUGCUCAUGGUGGUGUUCACGGUACAUUAAACAUUGUAAACUUGCCACCCCAUGCUCCCUGUUAAACAAGAGCUUUCUUUUUCCCUCUCCCUUUCUUUUUCAAGGUGUAGCAACAAUUUUCCCCUUGUGUCCUGCUGUGGCGGCUCAACAGAAAGGCAAUAAUCUUGUAUAGCAUUAUCUUACCUCAGCCCAGUAAGCAAUAACUGGAUGCUGCAGGAGAUGAAAGGGUCAUGAUCCAGUUGAGUUAAAGGAGGUUUUGUUACACUGAAGUGUUGGUAGCGACAGUCGUUCCUGCACACAUUCAGAAUGGCAGAGCUGGGUCAAUGCAGCUGUCUGAGAUACUGCAUUAUAACGUAGAACCAAAGGAUCAUUGAGUCAUAAAGACUGGAAAAGGCCUCUAAGAUCACCAAGUCCAACCCAUCCCCACCAUGCCCAUCAAGCCGUGUCACUCAGUGUGACAUCUACUCUUUUCCUGAAAACCUCCAGGGAUGGUAACUUCACCAUUUCCCUGGGAUGGUAACUUCACCAUCUCCCUGGGAUGCAUCCCAGAGACUUGUAUGCAUCCUGAAAACCUGCUUUCACAAUGAAAGCGCAUCUGACGUGGCCAUGCUGAUGGCAAUAUACCACUACCGUGACUGCUGCAAGUCCCCUUUUCAGCUUUGUUUUAUCAUCACCUCUCACCUUUUCACACUGUCCACCUUGCAGGACUUGUGGUUGGUGCUGGCUCCUCUGUUUGUAUUUAUCCCUCUAUUAACUCAGCAAUGCCGUGCCAUGGUUCCCAUCUGGCAUGAGACACCGCACUGCAGGACUCAUGUUUACAACACAUCACGGUACCACAACCGGCUCCAAGACAUCAAUUCACAUUGCAGCUGGUCACCUUCUCUUUGGCACCUUCCUGUACCACUGACUUCAAAACCCCAAAAUCACCAGUAACUGGGAGUUUAAAAACUUUGUGAGAUGCUGUGGCUCCAUUUACGCAGCGAAGCUGUGUAUUGAAAUAUGAAUUAGUUCCAUGCAUAUCGGCAGGGAGGACCAUCUGCUGUGCUCAGCACCCGGGUUGGAAGCUGGUUGGCUGGCAGGACAGCAUGUGUUUACAGAAAACCCUAACAGUUGUAAAGGAGCCAUUUAGGUUUAUCGUGUCAAUUCCUGUAAAACUCCACGAGGAGAGAUUCCUUUCACAAACUUGCAUAAAAAAGACAGAUAGACUAGUUUUGACCUCUCUGAAAACAUGUGACAGUUGAGCUUGUGGCAGGGGUAAAAUAUCUAGAACGGCAAGAAAAAAAUCUUGUCAUUUCCCCCUCUUAUACAUUAGACUCCUUGGGUACAACAUCCAUUCAUAGCUUCGUUCUUACAUUAUAAUUUAACUGCCUUUUAUUUUCCUUCUGAGGUACAAACGCAGGAGUCGUACAUGAUUUUCAUGCCGUAUUAUGUGAGCCAUUGUGAAGAAAGCUGUCCAGAGUAAUGGCUCCAUUUCAAAAUGAUGCAUGUGCCAAGAUACAGAGAUCAUUUGUUCUUCUUAAAAAUGAAAUGAGGAUGGGAUUAAAAAUGUUAUGUUUUGCGUAUAUGAGCAAUAUUCCUCUAAUCAACCAUUCCAAAGGUAUUGCCUCCCUGUAGCUUCUCUGUCAUACAAAUUAUCCAAGGGAAGGCGUGUGUGAGCUCACCAAAGGUGCUCAUGGUGCUGCAUAAACAUCCAUCUUACAGGGGCUGUGCAGCUUGCAGAGUGACUGGGGCUGUCUCACCGCUGAGCUGAGGACAGAGUAAAAGCAAACAGCCCUCAGGAUGUUUCUGCACUGGGCUUUCAGUUCCAUUUCCAUGCAAGGAGGAACUCUUAAAAAACAACCAUAAUAAUGAAACUGCUGAAGUCCUGACUGCUGUGUAACUGCUGUAUUACACAAUCUAUAUGCAUAUGAAAGCAGAAUAAAAAGGGAUUGUUCUCCAAUGUCAAGCUGAGGAUCACACCAAGCCCUUCGGUCGUGGUGUCCCAUGCAUGUCUGUGGCUGUUGGAAUGGGACAACAGGCAGGUUUGGGAGCAUCUCUGCAUCAAAUUGCAAUGUGCACAUGAAAAAAAAAAAAGUACAUGAUUGUAACUGAUAUCCUAAGCAUGAUCGUAGUGUGGCGGUAGUUCACAAAGGACUUAUAUCAGAUAGCCAAGAUUGGGUAGGGACAGGAGACUGGUGGGAAGAAGAGAAAAUGGCUCUUACCCUUACCCAGGCACUGUGAUCCUUAAAAUCUUCUCUCUGCGUCACCUGUGAAGGAGCCUAAGGCUGCCUAUUUUCAGGCUGUGCGCGGCGCCCUCCUGGGUUAGAGCAGAAAGGGAAGAGCAUCACAAGCCGGUGUGUGGAAGAUGACUCACCACAUUAUUUUCCACAUUUAAAAUAUAACCCUGCAUUCUUGCCAGUGUAUCAAUAGAGUCAGGCUCUCUCUCCUUCAGCAUCUCAUGUGUUUAUAUUUGUAUAUGCACUACGUAAUGCCUCAGCCAAUACAUCUAGCCAUCUUUUAUUUUUAAUCUUUUUCAUUUUGUUUUCUACACUUUUGCUCCCAAAUGGGCACUGAGAGGCUGGAACUAUAGCACAUCCAAUGCAGCUCAUGUCAGCACAAGGUAUCAGCAGUUUGACAGCAGUACAUUGGGAACAAUGAUCCCAUUUCAGGGUGGUCAAAACUGGUCAAAAAAAAAUGCGUGGUUGAUCAAACUGGGCUGAAACUCAGCCCAACCAGUGGCUUACUGUCAAUGAAUCAGCUGGCAAAGCUGUAGUGCGUGUUCAUCCAUGGAGAUUUUCUCACCUUCCAUGGGGCCAUGGCUCAUCCCCACCAGGGUUUAAUGCUCCUUGUGGGUUUGGGGCUGGGAGGUUGAGUUGAGACAGUUGUGCAGAGCUCACAGUAAAGUAAUAGAACUGAUACCCCAGCUAAAGCCUUCCCCCAAAAGCAUCCUGACUCAGGGAUCGCUUUCCUCUCAGAAAGUGGGACAUAAAUAUAGAGUUAAUUGGGAC